CGCCAGGACAGGUUUGGGAACCACUGUGCUAGAGAAUCAAAUUGCCGAGCCUAGUAUUAGUCCCUGGAGUUCACCAUGUUGGUGGUGCGCAACACUAAUCAGCAUCUUAUGCGUUGGAGUUUGACGUUACAACCAUAUGACCUCGAUAUCAAACACGUUCGAGGGGGCGAGUGUGUUCUGUCUUUGUUUUAUUAGGAACUGAUUGCCGGCACCUGUGGAUGCUGUAUGUUUGGCAUAAGAAGUCCAAGCAGCCAAAUCUGUGCGGUGGGCGAGAUGUUCGGCUAUUGUUGUGUCCUAGCCCCCUUAAUUUUCCUA